GCGCACCAGGCGAGAAACUUUACAAUGUGCGAAAGCACGAUAAGGGAACUCUGAGUGCCUCCUAAGGAGGCUGUUCAGGUGUCUAAAAGCACCUGGAGUAAGGGCUGGGUAAGACCGGUGCCAGCCGCCGCGGUAACACCGGCAGCCCAGGUGGUAGCCACUUUUAUUGGGUCUAAAGCGUCCGUAGCCGGUUGAGUAAGUUCCUUGGGAAAUUUGGCUGCUCAACAGUCAAGCUUCCAGGGAAUACUGCUCGACUUGGGACUGGGAGAGGUCAGAGGUACUCCAGGGGUAGGGGUGAAAUCCAUUAAUCCCCGGGGGACCACCGGUAGCGAAGGCGUCUGACCAGACCAGGUCCGACGGUGAGGGACGAAGGCUAGGGUCGCGAACCGGAUUA
rnacentral:rRNA from 1 species